rnacentral:rRNA from 1 species
CAACGCCGGCCGUGGAGGAAUGAAGUUACUUCGGUACGUAAACUCCUUUCGAUCGGGACGAUAAUGACGGUACCGGAAGAAGAAGCCCCGGCUAACUUCGUGC